UUUUUGGGGGGAUUUGAUUGUGCUCUGUCAGAUCUAUGUAUCUAUAUGGGUGAUAGUUAUUUUUUUUAAUAAUGUAACCUCUCAAUUUCUAGUUCUCUUGAAGGGUACAUUAUGAGCAUGUAAACUUCUCUAACAAUCAAAUUGCCACAUAAACUGUUUUAUUUUGGUAGUGUACUGUCUUAAGCACUCAUCAAAGCAGCAGAGCUAUCGCACAAUUAUUUCCCUACUUAUACCUUUUUACACUUUUAUAUGUGCACCUUCUUCUGGUAUUUUUUUAUGACAUUCAUUCUUGUGUCUGAAGUCUUGAUGUGUGCAGAACUACUUUCGCGGUGGAAUGAUAUUUGGUGAGCCAGGGUGUGUCACAUGUUCUCACAGCCUGCCGUCAUCAAUCAAGAUUGGCAAGGAGACACUUGGGUAGGAGAAAAGGAAACGGGAGAGCAUGAGAGAGGAAGACGUCGAACACGUACAUACAUAAGAACCUUUCACUAUGUUCCAUUUUGCUACAAGAUGUUCAUAACCUAAGUAAUGCAGACAGAUUUACAUAUUUUGUGUGAUGGUAGUAUUCAUCAUAGUUUUAUGUUAACCAACCAUGUUGAUUAUCCUACUUCAUGUUCGUGUCAAUCCAAACUCAUCAUAUCACUCUCGAUUUUUAGUCAUGCUUGCAGCUUUGAUCUUCAACUAUACGCAGAAAGAAUGUCUUAGGCUCAAGGUACUGUUGAAACUUGGACGUCAUCCAAAUCAUAUGCUUUUUGGGCUGUACGAGCUUAGACUAUCUAUUGCAUUCAUCCUGGCUCAAAAUUUUCAGUUUGUAAUUGUCCAUGAUGACGGCACAACACACAUAGUGCUUGCUUUGUUAAGAUUUUUAUGUUCUCAAGGAUGUUAAAGGGUUCCUCCUGGGAACCAAGAGGACAGCCUUGAACUCAAGCUGCCUCUUCACAGAGAAGUGCUUGAACGCAAAGAUGCUCCUCCCGAGUCAUUUGACAGAUAUAGAACUAAGAUUUUAUGAAGUAACCUGAAGGUCGGAUGUGUUUUGUAGUAACUAUAUCUCUUUUGUUAUCUUUUUUUUUCUUUAUGAUUGGGAGUAGUAUAUGUUGUUUUAGAGGGUCUAAUUAUCAGAAAAUAAGAUUUUGUUCUUUUGUUUC